rnacentral:lncRNA from 1 species
GAUGACCGGACCUUACCAACAUACUCAAAAAAGUAUUCUAUACUGGGGUCUGUGCUCUUGACAAGUAGUGUUUCCAGUCUAGCUGUGUCAAAUCGGGUGUGAAGUGUCCUUCUAGGUUCUGGCUGGUAGAGAGAGGACUAAAAAUCCCCCGGUGGAAUAUUUGGCCUGCUUACUAACUUAUAGGCUUCAGAGGGGACCCUUUCUCGCCCAGCCCUACCUACAGGGAGUGUAGGAUUUCGUUCGCAACUC